rnacentral:rRNA from 1 species
UACGUAGGGUGCAAGCGUUGUCCGGAAUUAUUGGGCGUAAAGAGCUCGUAGGCGGUUUGUUGCGUCGGCUGUGAAAUCCCGAGGCUCAACCUCGGGUCUGCAGUCGAUACGAGCAAACUAGAGUGUUGCAGGGGGAGACUGGAAUUCCUGGUGUAGCGGUGAAAUGCGCAGAUAUCAGGAGGAACACCGGUGGCGAAGGCGGGUCUCUGGGCAACAACUGACGCUGAGGGAAGCGAAAGGCGUGGGGGAGUAAACAAGG